GGGAGUGGCAGGUCAUCUGAGUCUUGAAGAACUGAUGGGGGUAUUGUCAGGAAAAAAGUGGAAGGUGAAGAGGAUGCUCUAAGUAUUGAGUAUUUGGGCUGCUAUUUGAGUGACAGAGCUUUAUGCAUGUUCUUUGGGUGGAUUUGGUGGAGUGGUACUGACAGCAGCAAGAUGUAAUUGGUGGUCUCUGCUGGAACCCUGGAUGACAUGGCUGGAGCCAGCUCUUCAAAGAUUCGUUGGGCAGCAGAGGGUUUUUUUUUUUUUUUUUUUUUUACC
rnacentral:lncRNA from 1 species